AGGAAAAGCAUCCUAAAAGAAGAUGUUAAAUCCAGGAAAAAGUUGUCAAGUGUAUUUCCUUCUACUUACCUUUUCUGCUGACUGGGCUGUACCAAAAAAGAUGGGGAUGAAAGCUAACCAAAUGAUGCAGGUGGUAUACAUGGUAAAUCCAAUAGGUUUGGCUUCAUUGAAAGUCUCUGGGACACCUCUCGUUUUAAUGGCAUAAACAGUACAAGUGACCAUCAAGAGGAUACUGUAUCCAAGUGAACAAAUGAGUGAGAGAUCAGAAAUGUCACACUUGAGCACUCCCCUGGCCUUCUCUGGAUCUAGUGUCCGCUGCUCUCCAUAGUCAAUGAUGAUGUGGGGGGGAUCCACAACAAACCAGACAAACACUCCAAGGAGCUGGACGGAGAUGAGGCUGAAGGUGAUCACCAGCUGAGAUGCUGGACUAAUGAACUUGGGCGCUGUGACAGAUUUCUUCCCCUGCUCAAAUAUUCGGUGGAUACGGUUUGUUUUGGUCAGAAGGGCUGCAUAGCUGAAACACAUGCCAAGUCCUAGGAAGACCCGUCGGAAGGAGCAUAUGAUUGUAUCUGGUGCUGCAAUCAUUAAAAACGUGAUUGAAUAACAGAGAAAAAUCCCCGUUAGGAGCACGUAACUAAGUUCGCGUCCUGAAGCCCUCACGAUAGGUGUGUCAUUAUAGCGGACAAAGGUCACGAUCACAAAGGUGGUGGCGAUGAUUCCCAAUAUUGCAACAAACACAGGCACCACAGCCCAGGGAGAAUGCCACUCCAAUUUGAUGAUGGGGAUAAGCUGGCAGCCUGUGCGGUUCAUGUUGGGUCUCUGAUCCAGAGGGCAAAGUUCACAGGACAGCUCAUCCACCUGGUAGUUGUAACCUUCACAGCGUUCACAGUGCCAGCAGCAAGGGACCCCUUUCACCGUUUUCUUCCUCUCCCCUGGCUUACACGGCAGGCUGCAGACAGACGCCGGACACAGUAAUUUUAGCAGAAUGCUAAUAGGACAAAACUGAAAAUUAC
rnacentral:lncRNA from 1 species